UACGUAGGGGGCUAGCGUUGUCCGGAUUUAUUGGGCGUAAAGCGCGCGUAGGCGGCCCAGUAAGUCCGUUGUGAAAGUCAAAGGCUCAACCUUUGAAAGCCGAUGGAUACUGCUGGGCUAGAGUCCGGAAGAGGCGAGUGGAAUUCCCGGUGUAGCGGUGAAAUGCGCAGAUAUCGGGAAGAACACCCGUGGCGAAGGCGGCUCUCUGGGACGGUACUGACGCUGAGACGCGAAAGCGUGGGGAGCGAACAGG
rnacentral:rRNA from 1 species